GACGUAGGGCGCGAGCGUUGUCCGGAUUUAUUGGGCGUAAAGAGCUCGUAGGCGGCUUGUCGCGUCGUCCGUGAAAACUUGGGGCUCAACCCCAAGCCUGCGGUCGAUACGGGCAGGCUAGAGUUCGGUAGGGGAGACUGGAAUUCCUGGUGUAGCGGUGAAAUGCGCAGAUAUCAGGAGGAACACCGGUGGCGAAGGCGGGUCUCUGGGCCGAUACUGACGCUGAGGAGCGAAAGCAUGGGGAGCGAACAGG
rnacentral:rRNA from 1 species